GCAGAAGGAAGUCGGCAGGCGAGACUGCAGAGGGAGUAGUGCGAUCCUGCGCGCGGGGGAACUAGCUGGAGGGCAAGGCGGGAACACCAUCUAUUGUUGGGGUGAUCGGACCUAACACCAGGUUGUGGGGACAACGAAGUCCAGAAGAGUGAAAGGAAUGAGAAAAGACAGUUUGAGAGAGAAAGUGGGCCCAGGGGGCCAAUGCGAGUAUGGAGGCUGUGAAGGCCCCGAGCCCUGGAAGCCCAGACUAUUUAUUGGUGAUCAAACAAAGAAACAGGUGGUGAGAAUGUGGGGUUGAAAGGGAGCAUUGCAUUAAGCACAUGAUUUACAGCUGUGAUGGUUUAGCAUAUGCUCUGCUACUUGAGAUAAUGGAGAGCAGGUUCUUUUAACUCAAGAUACAAUAGAUCCUGGGAGAGCAGGGAGCAAGGAGCCAGCCAGCCUAGACACAUUCCAGAGGCCAUGAGCCCUGGAUUCUUUCCAAGCCACA
rnacentral:lncRNA from 10 species